rnacentral:rRNA from 1 species
UAGAGCAGCCAUAUCACCCUGCAGCCCAAGACUGGUCGCCAACUGAAGCUAAGCAGGGUUGAGCUGGUCAGUAACUGGAUGAGAGACCUCCUGGGAACCAUCCACUGAAUUGGCUCUAU